rnacentral:rRNA from 1 species
UACGAGUGGUGCAAGCGUUAUUCGGAAUUAUUGGGCGUAUAGGGUGCGCAGGCGGUAUAUUAAGUCAACUGUCAAAAGCCUUAGCUUAACUAAGGACCGGCGGUAGAUACUGGUAAACUAGAGGGUGAGAGAGAGAAGUGGAAUUCUUGGAGUAGCGGUAAAAUGCGUAGAUCUCAAGAGGAACACCGAUGGCGAAGGCAGCUUCUUGGCUCAUUUCUGACGCUCAUGCACGAAAGCGUGGGGAGCAAACAGG